rnacentral:lncRNA from 1 species
AUGGGAAAUAUGGAACUACAGAAAAAUCUCUGGGCACGCAUCUGCCUGGUUGACAUUGGAUUAGACAAUGUCUUGUGGUUUGGUGCAUGGGCAAAAUGUCUAAAUCAACUGUCUAAUGUGGCUUUAAAGCAAUUUGUGUUGUGUGGCCAAGUCUGGGCUUGCUCAGCACAGAGGAAUAUGAUGAUGCUGCAGCUUGUCUUCCUCAUGGGGACAAAAACAGAGAGAGUAAUGAUCUAUAGCUGCUGGCUCUGUCACCCUUCCAUUCACGGGGAACAUACUGUGAUCUUUCCCACUUAUUGGCCUGGUCCAAUCUCCUCAGUCUUAAUUCUUUCUGGAAUCAUGUCUGACCUCUUUAAAGAAGCCAUUCUUAACUCUUCCAGUUCUUAUAGGUCCUUCAUUCUCUGUGCUCCUAUAUCCUGGCAUAACUUAGCAUGUAGAUUAUAUCCUGGCAUUUUUUUUUCCUCCUCCUUUAGUCAGUAAGCUUAUUAAGGGCAGGAGCCAUACCUCUUCCAUGUUUGAUUCUCACAGCACUGAGCAUAUGGUAUUCAAUAACUGAGUGAUGACUAACUAAACAUUUAAACACACUCUUAAAUUAUCAUUCUAAUGUUGGCUACCUGCUUACAUUUUUUUCUUAAGUUUGGCACAAAGUUGUCACUAAUCUCUCCGUUUCACCCACCUUAACUUGACUUCUUCAGUGAGUUUGAGAGCUAAAUACAAAUUUCAGGCUAUCACAUUUAAAAUAGGGCCACUCAUUGCCAGCAGUAGCCCAAAGCCAUUUAAUACGAUUGGCACAUCCCCACAUGUCGAUUUCAGGCUAUUGUCAUUGAGAGAACUGAAGGCUUCCUAUGAUGUACAGAUGGCUACGGUCAUCUAAAGCCAACUGCUCUUCAUCAUUUUUAGUGAAUACCUCAACUUUUUUUCCUAAGGGUAUCAUGAUUUACUCUGCUAACUAAAUGAAAAGGCAAAGCACAAUGUUACAAAUGAGUGCUUUGCCUUAAAACUUGAAAAUGGCAAAUAGUUUAUGUUAGUUGACCUACCUUAAACUUCAUAUACACAAACACGUAUAGUUUUUGGCAAUCCAGCAACCGGGCCUAAUUUUUUGAUUUUUGCAUCUCAGUGAAGUUCUAGGCCACCAAAUGUGGGAUUAACCACGGUGGUUUGAGGAUGAAUAUAUGUGAUUACGAUGACACACCAAAGUGAUUUAAGGAUUCUGACUUUUGUUUCUCCUGUAUCAUCAGUGUGGACAAUUGAGAAUUGAAAGUGAAUAUAACAUUAGCUACAACCUAAAAAGACAUCACUAUUUUAGGAUUCCCAGGGUUGACAGUAUUAAAUUUGCAAAACAAAACAAAACAACCAGGUUGAGUAACAAUAAAAUAUACAAACAAAUACA